rnacentral:rRNA from 1 species
UAAAGAAUAUAGAAGAAUGACAUGGGAAGGUCAGCCAAAGAGAGUAAGAGCCUCGUAUUCGAAAUAGUCUUUAUACCUAGCAGUAUCCUGAGUACGGCGGGACACGAGAAAUCCCGUCGGAAUCUGGGAGGACCAUCUCCCAACCCUAAAUACUCUCUAGUGACCGAUAGUGAACCAGUACCGUGAGGGAAAGGUGAAAAGCACCCCGGGAGGGGAGUGAAAUAGAACCUGAAACCGUGUGCCUACAACAAGUUCGAGCCCGUUAAUGGGUGAGAGCGUGCCUUUUGUAGAAUGAACCGGCGAGUUACGAUAUGAUGCGAGGUUAAGUUGAAGAGACGGAGCCGUAGGGAAACCGAGUCUGAAUAGGGCGCAAUAGUAUUAUGUCGUAGACCCGAAACCAUGUGACCUACCCAUGAGCAGGUUGAAGGUGAGGUAAAACUCACUGGAGGACCGAACCAGGGCACGUUGAAAAGUGCUUGGAUGACUUGUGGGUAGCGGAGAAAUUCCAAACGAACUUGGAGAUAGCUGGUUCUCUCCGAAAUAGCUUUAGGGCUAGCGUCGACAUUAAGAUUCUUGGAGGUAGAGCACUGUUUGGGUGAGGGGUCCAUCCCGGAUUACCAAUCUCAGAUAAACUCCGAAUGCCAAAGAAUUAUGGUCGGCAGUCAGACUGCGAGUGCUAAGAUCCGUAGUCGAAAGGGAAACAGCCCAGACCACCAGCUAAGGUCCCAAAAUAAUUGUUAAGUGGAAAAGGAUGUGGGGUUGCACAGACAACUAGGAUGUUAGCUUAGAAGCAGCUAUUCAUUCAAAGAGUGCGUAAUAGCUCACUAGUCGAGUGACCCUGCGCCGAAAAUGUACCGGGGCUAAAACAAUUUACCGAAGCUGUGGAUACCUUUAUAGGUAUGGUAGGAGAGCGUUCUAUGUGUGGAGAAGGUGUACCGUGAGGAGCGCUGGAACGCAUAGAAGUGAGAAUGCCGGUAUGAGUAGCGAAAGACAGGUGAGAAUCCUGUCCACCGUAAGACUAAGGUUUCCAGGGGAAGGCUCGUCCGCCCUGGGUUAGUCGGGACCUAAGGAGAGACCGAAAGGUGUAUCCGAUGGACAACAGGUUGAUAUUCCUGUACUAGAGUAUGUAGUGAAGGAGGGACGCAGUAGGCUAACUAAAGCGUGCGACUGGAAGUGCACGUCUAAGCAGUGAGGUGUGAAUUGAGUUAAAUGCUUAAUUCUAUAACAUUGAGCUGUGAUGGGGAGCGAAGAUUAGUAGCGAAGUUAGUGACGUCACACUGCCAAGAAAAGCUUCUAGCGUUAAUCAUACUCUACCCGUACCGCAAACCGACACAGGUAGUCGAGGCGAGUAGCCUCAGGUGAGCGAGAGAACUCUCGUUAAGGAACUCGGCAAAAUGACCCCGUAACUUCGGGAGAAGGGGUGCUGGCUUUGAGUCAGCCGCAGUGAAUAGGCCCAAGCAACUGUUUAUCAAAAACACAGCUCUCUGCUAAAUCGUAAGAUGAUGUAUAGGGGGUGACGCCUGCCCGGUGCUGGAAGGUUAAGAGGAGUGCUUAGCGGUAACGCGAAGGUAUGAAUUGAAGCCCCAGUAAACGGCGGCCGUAACUAUAACGGUCCUAAGGUAGCGAAAUUCCUUGUCGGGUAAGUUCCGACCCGCACGAAAGGCGUAAUGAUUUGGGCACUGUCUCAACGAGAGACUCGGUGAAAUUUUAGUACCUGUGAAGAUGCAGGUUACCCGCGACAGGACGGAAAGACCCCAUGGAGCUUUACUGCAGUUUGAUAUUGAGUGUCUGUGCCACAUGUACAGGAUAGGUAGGAGCCAUAGAGAUCGGGACGCCAGUUUCGAUGGAGGCGUUGUUGGGAUACUACCCUUGUGUUAUGGCCACUCUAACCCGGUAGGUUUAUCAUCUACGGAGACAGUGUCUGACGGGCAGUUUGACUGGGGCGGUCGCCUCCUAAAAGGUAACGGAGGCGCCCAAAGGUUCCCUCAGAAUGGUUGGAAAUCAUUCG